GCGGCUGUAGCUUAGCGGCAAAGCGCCUCGCUGUGGCCGAGGAAACCGUGGGUUCGAAUCCCAUCAGCCGCC
rnacentral:tRNA from 1 species